rnacentral:rRNA from 1 species
UACGCAGGGGGCAAGCGUUGUCCGGAAUCAUUGGGCGUAAAGAGCGUGUAGGCGGUUCGGUAAGUCGGCUGUGAAAGUCCAGGGCUCAACUGAGGAAGUGCGCCCGAAACUGCAGAGCUUGAAUACCGGAGAGGAUGGCGGAAUUCCCCAAGUAGAGGUGAAAUUCGUAGAUAUGGGGAGGAACACCGGUGGCGAAGGCGGCCAUCUGGACGGCUAUUGACGCUGAGACGCGAAAGCGUGGGGAGCAAACAGG